CUAUGGAUAUUCUCAGUUACUUUUUUUGCUUUUUUAAAGACAAGGUCUUUCCUAGUUGUUCAUGGGAACAUAGGCUCUGUCCCAUGACAUACAGUCCCUUUUCACAACACUGGAGAUGAAGCUGGGCUUUGAGUCUGUGCUUGCUUAUUCCCCAACUUCUCGGAGUACUGUGGACAAUGACUGAGGAGAGAAUCCAUGCAGGAAACUGUC
ensembl:snoRNA SNORA73 Small nucleolar RNA SNORA73 family